UGAUUUGCAUCAGCAGCUCCAUGCUCCAGCGCUCUGGGAGAGUUUAUAGUCCUGACAGUUGAACACUGGAUGACUGACAGCUGUCCUUCAUCACAGCAGGAGACACAGAAAUCCUCCUCAUCAUCAGAAGCAUGACUCUGAUCUGCGUCCUCAUCUGGACUCUCCUCUGCUUCACUCAGGGAUCUGAUGGACAAAAUGUUGUUGUGACUCAAUCAGCAGCCAAAUCAGUGCAGCUUGGUCAGACGGUCACUAUUGACUGUAAGGCCAGUAGACAACUAACUGGUUGUAGCACACCCUGCCUGUCCUGGUACCAUCAUAAACCUGGAGAAGCUCCUAAAGCUCUGAUCUACUACACAUCAUCCAGAUUUUCAGGAAUCUCCUCCAGAUUCAGUGGAAGUGGAGCAGGAAAUGGAUUAGACUUCACUCUGACCAUCAGUGGAGUUCAGGCUGAAGAUGCAGGAGUUUAUUACUGUCAGAGUUAUCAUAGUGGCCCCGUGUUCACACAAAAUGUUGUUGUGACUCAAUCAGCAGCCAAAUCAGUGCAGCUUGGUCAGACGGUCACUAUUGACUGUAAGGCCAGUCGGGCACUUUCAACAUCUGAGUGUAGCUACUCUUCAAGAGUCUGCCUGUCCUGGUACCACCAGAAACCUGGAGAAGCUCCUAAAGCUUUGAUAUAUGGAACAUCAUCCAGAUUUUCAGGAAUCUCCUCCAGAUUCAGUGGAAGUGGAGCAGGAAAUGGAUUAGACUUCACUCUGACCAUCAGUGGAGUUCAGGCUGAAGAUGCAGGAGUUUAUUACUGUCAGAGUGCUCAUGUCAUCAACAGUCAGUGGGUGUUCACACAGUGAAAAAUCAUCGUACAA